rnacentral:tRNA from 1 species
GCAGUGGUAGUUCAGUGGUAGAAUUCUCAUCUUCCAUACAGGAGAUCUGAGUUCAAUUCCCAGCCAAUGCA